rnacentral:rRNA from 1 species
CAGCAGUGGGGAAUAUUGCACAAUGGGCGCAAGCCUGAUGCAGCCAUGCCGCGUGUAUGAAGAAGGCCUUCGGGUGUAAAGUACUUUCAGCAGUGAGGAAGGUGGGUAUGUUAAUAGCAUAUUCAUUUGACGUUAGCUGCAGAAGAAGCACCGGCUAACUCCGUGCCAGCAGCCGCGGUAAUACGGAGGGUGCGAGCGUUAAUCGGAAUUACUGGGCGUAAAGCGCAUGCAGGUGGUUUGUUAAGUCAGAUGUGAAAGCCCGGGGCUCAACCUCGGAAUUGCAUUUGAAACUGGCAAACUAGAGUACUGUAGAGGGGGUAGAAUUUCAGGUGUAGCGGUGAAAUGCGUAGAGAUCUGAAGGAAUACCGGUGGCGAAGGCGGCCCCCUGGACAGAUACUGACACUCAGAUGCGAAAGCGUGGGGAGCAAACAGGAUUAGAUACCCUGGUAG